rnacentral:rRNA from 1 species
UACGUAGGGUGCAAGCGUUGUCCGGAUUUAUUGGGUUUAAAGGGUGCGUAGGCGGCUUUGUAAGUCAGUGGCGAAAUACUCUAGCUUAACUAGAGGGGUGCCAUUGAUACUGCGGAGCUUGAGUACAGAUGAGGUAGGCGGAAUUGACGGUGUAGCGGUGAAAUGCAUAGAUAUCGUCAAGAACACCGAUAGCGAAGGCAGCUUACUGGGCUGUAACUGACGCUGAUGCACGAAAGUGUGGGGAUCAAACAGG